rnacentral:rRNA from 1 species
UACAGAGGGGGCAAGCGUUGUUCGGAAUUACUGGGCGUAAAGGGCGCGUAGGCGGCCCGCUAAGUCGAACGUGAAAUCCCCAGGCUCAACCUGGGAACUGCGUCCGAUACUGGCAGGCUUGAAUCCGGGAGAGGGAUGUGGAAUUCCAGGUGUAGCGGUGAAAUGCGUAGAGAUCCGGAGGAACACCAGAGGCGAAGGCGGCAUUCUGGACGACAUCAGACGCUGAGACGCGACAGCACGGGGAGCGAACGGG